rnacentral:tRNA from 1 species
GGGGCUGUGGCUCAGUGGUAGAGCACUCGCCUAGCAUGUGCAAGGCCCUGGGUUCGAUCCUCAGCACCA